UACGAGUGCCUCAAGCGUUAUCCGGAAUCAUUGGGCGUAAAGGAUGUGUAGGUGGUUGUGUUAGUCUUUUGUUAAAUUCUUCGGCUUAACCGGGGGCAUGCAAAAGAAACGGCACGACUAGAGGAUGCGAGGGGUCUGCGGAACUCAUAGUGUAGCGGUAAAAUGCGUUGAUAUUAUGGGGAACACCAAAAGCGAAGGCAGCAGACUGGAGCACUCCUGACACUGAAACAUGAAAGCGUGGGUCGCGAAUGGG
rnacentral:rRNA from 1 species